rnacentral:miRNA from 1 species
UUAUCAACUUUGAUCUUCUUAU